rnacentral:rRNA from 1 species
GAUGAACGCUGGCGGCGUGCCUAAUACAUGCCAGUCGAGCGAACGGACGAGAAGCUUGCUUCUCUGAUGUUAGCGGCGGACGGGUGAGUAACACGUGGAUAACCUACCUAUAAUACUGGGAUAACUUCGGGAAACCGGAGCUAAUACCGGAUGAUAUUUUGAACCGCAUGGUUCAAAAGUGAAAGACGGUCUUGCUGUCACUUAUAGAUGGAUCCGCGCUGCAUGAGCUAGUUGGUGGGGUAACGGCUUAUCAAGGCGAGGAUGCAUAGCCGACGUGAGAGAGUGAUCGGCCACACUGGAACUGAGACGCGGCCCAGACUCCUACGGGAGGCAGCAGUAGGGAAUCUUCCGCAAUGGGCGAAAGCCUGACGGAGCAACGCCGCGUGAGUGAUGAAGGUCUUCGGAUCGUAAAACUCUGUUAUUAGGGAAGAACAUAUGUGUAAGUAACUGUGCACAUCUUGACGGUACCUAAUCAGAAAGCCACGGCUAACUACGUG